AGAGUACAAAAGGUUUAUUGCUGCCUUUGUGGAGCCAGUAUACUCCAGCUUGUUUUACUUACUCUUUCCCCAAUUUUUUUUUCAGUAGAUGCCUGAUCACCAAGCCCAGACAUGUUCACCUUGCUCCUAGAUUUGGAGCUUCAACAGGGCAAGCAGCAGCUCCUGUGCAGAACACAUUGGUGUUAUGAGGAGACGUUUUCCACACACAGGAGACUUUGGAGCUGGCUCUACAAGUGUGAAGAUGUAGACCUGGUAUAUGCUUUGAGCAAGGAGAAAUAGCACUGACAACAGCACAGAAGAGCACAGUUGACUUAUAACAAGUACACCAGUAUUAUCACAGAUGUCAUCCUCCAAAAUUUAUAGAGCAGUUUGGAUUUCUUUUAUGUUAAAUCAGUCAUAUUUAUAAAUGGGGAACAGACUGUAGAGUUACAUGAAUGUACAACUCUUAACUUGUAGGGUAACAAUUGAAAAUGACUUAUUUGUGUUAAUAGGGCUAAACGGCCUUCAGAUAUGAAAGGGAAGAUAUGGAAUGGCCUUUUUUGAGCUGGUAAGUUGGCUGACUGAAAAGUAGGAUUCAUAUUCAAGGUGAGGGUUUUGUAAUCCCUGCUCAUUUAGCAAGGAAAGUUGGUUAGUGACAGUGGAAAAUAGUUAGAGCCUUCAAUCAAGUAUUGAAAUGUUUACUACUGGAUGAACACUGACAGCAUUGCUGAUGACAGACACACACAGCCUGUAGCAGGAAAACCCAGCAAUCCAGAAGAGUACUGAUAAAGAGUUAUGAUGCCAUUACCUGUCAUGAAGUCCAUGCAGACAGGGCUCUACAAUUUAUGUAAAGCCAAAGUCAAGUGGUAGACCUGAAGGAGACUGAGGGGCCUUGAAAACUACCAUGAGAUAGUGAAUUGUGGAUUUUAUAUGGGUCUUUUCUUCGUAAUUUGAAGCUUGAUGGUAUUGGUGAGCUGUCAGAAAGACUCUGAGCAAAUACAGUUUUAUUGCAAAUCAUCCUCCCAAGGAAUAAAAAACACAAUCACCUUGCA
rnacentral:lncRNA from 1 species